rnacentral:lncRNA from 1 species
CGAGAGAAUUCCUGGAGAAUUCCACCUCACAAAGUCAAAGGUUCCAUAGGGUAGAUCACCACUGGCCCCCGCCGGCCCUGAUCAGCCGGUGGCCUGCAAGGGGGAACACUUCCCAGAGGGCAGAGGAGACCCCUAGAGCCGUACCUGGACAGAGCCUGCCAGGUGAGGUGACUGGGAGUGGAGAUGCCUGGGUACGGUUCCACCUCCUCCCACAAUUCUCCUUGGAAGUUUCUAGAGCAUCUUCAUAUAGAGAUGGACCAAAUCAUCAGAACAAAGAAUCGGAAACACACCUCCAGCACUAAAGCUGCAUGAAAAUACAUGGAGUGGCAAACUGCUCCCUGACACAUUUAAGACGAUCCAGGACCUCUUCCAAGCUGGCUGGGAACAAAGAAUGUUUCUCCAGGAAGCAGAGUAAAGAAAACUAUCAGUCCUACCCAUCCUCUCUAUACGAAGGCUGUUAAGUUCAAUCUGUUUAUAUUUCCUUUUGUUGCCUGUGCUUUAGUGUCAUAGCCAUGAAAUUUUUGCCAAAUCCAAUCUUAUAAAUAUUCUCCACUAUGUUUUCUUCUACCAGUUUUAUGUUUUAGCUCUUCAAAGUCCUAAAGACCUCCCCUUAAGCCCCACCCCUUAAAGGCGCCAUGCCUCCCAAGACCACCACCCUGGGAACAGACCUUUCGGGACACUGAAGGUCUCGCUUGUCCUGCCACGUUCCUUU